AAAAUUAAAUUUAAUAUGUUUUAGCUAUAAGAAUACUAAAACAACAAAACAGAUUUUUUCAAAUUGCUUCUUUUAACAUCUAAAAUAGUUUCCCCCUUUGAAAAGCACUUUUUUGGACCCUGAAAUUUAAUGCCGAAUGGGGCCUACAACUGUGAAAACUGUUAAUCCUUAAGAAUCUUAGCUUUUUCCUUCAUGAUGAAAAUGAAACCCUAAACUGAAUUGACAUAAAUUCGAUAAAUGUAUGGGGAAACCCAUUGCCUACAAAAUAUUGCAAAAAGCUUCUAGCAAUUCAAAACAUAUGUAACAACUCAUUAACUUUGUGAUGCAGGAGCAUACAAUGUCUUAUUGAAUAGGGAUUUUAUGCAGUUUUCUCUUCCAUAUUUGUUUAGCAUUAUUGUCCAUUAAUCUUCAUUGAUUAGGAUUAGUUUUCAUUCACGGGCUAGGAUUUAUCUUACCUAGUACAUUAUAGGGUUGCUG
rnacentral:misc_RNA from 1 species